rnacentral:lncRNA from 10 species
AAAAGAAGCAGGGCUUGAACUUUGAAAAGAAGUCCCUCUGCUCUCACUCCUGCCACCAUGCCUCCCUCACAACUACCAUCUGAUUCCUUUCCUCUCCUUGGGGGCUCAGUAAUCCAGACUCUGGUGACCCAUCUGGAAGGGAGUCCCAGGGCUCCCCAUUUGUAUAAUAAGAUGGGGCUGUCAAUAGCACCUUGAUGUCGGAUGGCGAGGAGGACUCUGUGCAUGAAUGAAGGUGGUCUUAUUGGGUCUCAUGGUUUCGAAGACCAUUCAAAGGCUGAAGUCUGCCCAAUCUGGACCUGCAACCAGUGAUCUCUUUUGAAUGCAUAUUCUCACAGCAGCUACCUGCUCCAUGUCUCUACCUUGACACCUAAAAGGCUUCCCAGAGAUGAAAUGUCCGAAAUCCAGCUCCCGAUUUCGAACACUCAGUCCCAGUCCUGCCCCCGCUUCCAGAAAAUAGCAUCUCUAUGUUUCUAAUUGGGAUCUCCAGUGCGAAUGCCCUUUGGUAUAAAGACACUGCACAGCAAUGUACAAGUGACUGCAAAGUUAGGUUUCUCCCCAGCGCAGACACAGUCUGCUAGAAGGAGUGCGGCUGUGAACUCAGAGACACGUGCAAAUGCUGGAUUACAGUAGUGCGAUCUUGGCUUACUGCAACCCCCGCCUCCCAGGUUCAAGUGAUUCUCUUACCUCAGCCUUCUGAGUAGCUGGGAUUACAGACGCCUGCCACCAUACCCAGGCACAGCUGCUUGAAGAAACCAGGCACUGCAAGAGCUUUGUGACCCCUUGCCAAAUACCAGAAGAAGAUAAGACCUGCCUGGAACUGGUGCAAACUGGAACAAGUGACCCCUAGUUACCUUUAGAUCAUGAACAUAUAAUUAUAAUGCUGAAAUCUCCUCCUCUAAAAGAAAAUCUCUACCAUUUUGUAAACAUGCGGUAUAUGGAGAAUUAUGUUUGGGACUGCACCUGUGUGUCUGGAACUCCACCCUGCAUGCCUACAUCUCUCCUGGCCCGCAUUUAACUCUAAGAUUCCCCUGCCUCCCAACACUCUGGGGGCGGGGAAUAUGCCUUUAGAGCAAGAGCUACCCCUUCUCCAUUCUCUGGCCAUUGAAUAAAACCUGAUUGCUUUUUCUUUCUUUCUUUUUUUUUUUUUUUCCAAUUGGAUGUUCUUUCUUUGCAACCUAUACAAAGUAGGGGAAAAAAAACUCAGUUUACCAGUGACAAAGGAAUGUGUUUAUUUUUUAAUCUUUUCUUGGGAUUUUAAUGACUCUUUUACUUCAGUUUUCAUUUCUUCAAUUUACCUGGUAUCAAAAGGCAGUAUUAUAUUAUUAAAAGGCACCGGAAAUGGCACUAGGCAGAGAUAAGUUAGAAUUCUGUGUUCCCCACUUAUGAGCUGUGUAAUAUUGCUCAGGCUAUUCCAUGUUUCUCAGCCUGAGUACAGUCAUUUGUAAAGCAGUCAUUGUAGUCAAAGUGAUUGGAAAGUAAUAAUACUUACUAUUUGGGGUUGUGAUGUGGAUUAAAGAUAAUGUAUAUAACUUGCCUGACUCUCUGAUUCUGUUUGCUUUGAUACAUUCUUUCCUUUGACAUAUUCUUUCCCACUACUCCUGAGAAUGUCAAAUUUAGAACCAGCACUUCCUGCAGAAUUUUAUUAAUAUGUCUUCACCAAGAGCAGGCAACAUGUAUUUGGUGGCUGGUGCAUGAAACGUGAAAAACUCUCUUUCCUAAAGCAGACAUGUUCAUAAUCUAGUGGGCAUCUGUCAGACGGCUACAGUGUUUGAAAGUGGGAGGAGUUUGGACUUUGGCUCCAAACUUUCUUGGUGCUUCUGCUCAGUUUCCCAUGGGACAAUUUUACUUCCACCAUUUUGGACUCUGAAGCUUGCAAAGAAGCAUCUGGCUGCCAUAUUGUUUUGCCUCUCAUUUCCAAAUUGAGUCUCUCAUGCAACUAAACUCAAUCGUAUUCCAUCAGAGGCAGCAGAGAUUAUUCGAAUCUGCUUGAAGUUUCUGUUGUUUUCUUUUUUACACUCUGAUAUCUUUUUGCCUCCCUCUUCUGUGGAAGUGAUUUUUUCCUGCCCUCUGAGAAGGCUUUCUAGCUCCAAUCAGCUUGUGUUCUGUGUUCCCCAGGAUGCCUCAGAGUUUCAUCCAGAGUUCCUGAUAUGCCACUGAUUUUCUGGAAUUGCCUUUUUUGGUUUUCUUUUUCCCUUCACUCUCUCAUAAUAUAUCCCCUUAGGGUGGUCCCAUGAGAAAGAGUUCUGUCAGGUAUAAGUACCAGGAAUAGCUGAGCUUGCCCUGAAUAUCUGGCUAAAUUUUUAUCUUAUGGGUAUUUCUGGAUUAUAUAGCACUCUUUCAUUGGCUGCCUGGAAGCUCAGAAAGCAUAUUGGACUUUCCCCCAGCAAGUGCACAGAACCCCACAGUAUGCACUAUGUAUAAUGUUAUCCUUGACUUUAUCUUAUUUUUCCCAUAUCGAUUUUCUCACAUUUAUUUUUUAAACUUACUUUCUAUGCAUUUUUUGUUAUACUGCAGCAAGUCUUUGUUAGAAUGUGAUGAUAUAUAUAAGCAUCCAAACUAAGAGACUAGCGCCAUAAAAUCAUUUGCCUGCAGAAGCAAGACAGGCCAGAAAUAAAUGUAGUUCCACAGUGGCUGAGAUAACCUGCAAAGGAGAGAGCAUCAUGCUGGAGAUUUGAGAUGAAUCAGGUCAUCUCUGGGAUGUCACGAAAGUCCAUGAUUGAAGUCAGUAAGACAUUUGUGAUUUCCUGCAACCCUGUGUGUUCCUUCUGGACCCUGAAUUCUAAAUGGGAUGAGUCACAGGACUGACUUCACAUGGCAAUAGCUCUGAUGGAUUUGAGCAGUUGCUUUUCUGGAUCGCACAAUGAUUCAUGAACCUUGGAGAGAGACAUAUAGACCAGUUUCAAGUCUCAGCUCUGUGGUUUAGCACAAUAUUCUGAACCUAAUUGAGAAUUGUAGCCAUGACAUUUGUUGCUUGUCAAAUAUCCAUGUGCUCAUGUACGUGUCACAGUCUACUUCCUUGCAUUGAGGUAGGGAUUGGUUCUUUUGUACUGAAGAAUAGAACAGGUGUGAGGAAACUGUGCUUGACUUUUGCUGCCUGGGUGAUAAGGAAGCUAGGGUCCCAGACGGUGAAUCUACAAGAGGGUGAAGCCUCCAUCUAUCUGGGUCCUUGAGUGAGUGACAGUGCAAAGCCCUCACCAACCCAUGUUGGACAUUACAUGAACAAGGAGUAAACAUCAAUUUUGUGAAAACAGUGAGAUCUUGGGGUUACAUGUUACAGCAACAGAGCCUAGCCCAACCUCACUAAAACAACCCUCAGUAUCCAUGGUAGUAAAAUGAGAAUCAUUAUCAUUCCCUGACUUAUUUCUUUUUUGAAAUUUAGCAGUAAUACGAAUGGAAUCCCUGGCACCACCAUCUCACCUGGAAUAAUAUUGCAGAUGUUAUAAUAAUGAACAUUUUAAAUUAAUUUCUUCAGCAGAGUCUGGAGAUGAGGUUGAAUAGGACAUGGAUGCAGGGCAGUAUAAGAUGGAAAAAAGGUAAUUUUGGGGAUCAGACAGACCUGGGGUUAUAACCCAACCCAACACUUACUAGCUGUGUGAUUUUGUGGAAAGCAUUUAAUCACUCUAAGUCUCUUUCUACAACUGUAAAAUGUGAAUAAUUUUAUUUAACUUGCAGGCUUAUUGUAGAGAUUAAAAGAGCCUGUAAAGGGUCUAGCAAGUACCUUGGCACACAGAUAAUUCCUUUGUUUUUGCUUCCCUGCUUGUUUCCAAUAUACAUUUGGUCUUUGCCUGUUUCCUGGUUUCUUGGCAUACAACUCCUAAAAUAAUUGGAAUCUUCAAUGUGCUGAGUGUCUUUCUGCAUGCGAAUGAGUUGACUGAUGGCUGAAGCCCCUAGGUAGCUUCAGGAUGGGAGCUGGUCACCAGGAAAGACCAAGGCAGGAUUAGAGCGAUGGGAUUUUUUGGUCCACCCCUGAACCUACAGGGAGGGGAGAGGGGCUGAAGGUCAAGUUGAUCGCCAAUGGCCAAUGAUUUUGUCAAUCAUGCCUAUGUAAUGAAGCCUCCAACAAAUCCAAAAGGAUAGACUUAGGAGAGCUUCCAGGUAGUUGAAUGCCUGGAGGUUCCUGGAGGGAUGUGUACCCGGAGGGCAUGGAAGCUCCACGCCCCUUCCCACAUAAUUUGCCCUGUGCGUUUCUUUAUCUGUGUC